rnacentral:rRNA from 1 species
GACGAACGCUGGCGGCGUGCCUAAUACAUGCAAGUAGAACGCACAGUUUAUACCGUAGCUUGCUACACCAUAAACUGUGAGUUGCGAACGGGUGAGUAACGCGUAGGUAACCUGCCUGGUAGCGGGGGAUAACUAUUGGAAACGAUAGCUAAUACCGCAUAAUAUUGAUUAUUGCAUGAUAAUUGAUUGAAAGAUGCUAUUGCAUCACUACCAGAUGGACCUGCGUUGUAUUAGCUAGUAGGUGAGGUAACGGCUCACCUAGGCGACGAUACAUAGCCGACCUGAGAGGGUGAUCGGCCACACUGGGACUGAGACACGGCCCAGACUCCUACGGGAGGCAGCAGUAGGGAAUCUUCGGCAAUGGACGAAAGUCUGACCGAGCAACGCCGCGUGAGUGAAGAAGGUUGUCGGAUCGUAAAGCUCGGUUGUAAGAGAAGAACGGGUGUGAGAGUGGAAAGUUCACACUGUGACGGUAUCUUAACAGAAAGGGACGGCUAACUACGUG